UACGAAGGGGGCUAGCGUUGCUCGGAAUUACUGGGCGUAAAGCGCACGUAGGUGGCUUCUUAAGUCGGGGGUGAAAUCCUGGAGCUCAACUCCAGAACUGCCUUCGAUACUGGGAAGCUCGAGUUCGGGAGAGGUGAGUGGAAUUGCGAGUGUAGAGGUGAAAUUCGUAGAUAUUCGCAAGAACACCAGUGGCGAAGGCGGCUCACUGGCCCGGAACUGACGCUGAGACGCGAAAGCGUGGGGAGCAAACAGG
rnacentral:rRNA from 1 species